rnacentral:rRNA from 1 species
GUGGGGAAUCUUCCACAAUGGACGAAAGUCUGAUGGAGCAACGCCGCGUGAAUGAAGAAGGCCUUCGGGUCGUAAAAUUCUGUUGUCAGAGAAGAACGUGCGUGAGAGUAACUGUUCACGUAUUGACGGUAUCUGACCAGAAAGCCACGGCUAACUACGUGCCAGCAGCCGCGGUAAUACGUAGGUGGCAAGCGUUGUCCGGAUUUAUUGGGCGUAAAGGGAACGCAGGCGGUCUUUUAAGUCUGAUGUGAAAGCCUUCGGCUUAACCGAAGUAGUGCAUUGGAAACUGGAAGACUUGAGUGCAGAAGAGGAGAGUGGAACUCCAUGUGUAGCGGUGAAAUGCGUAGAUAUAUGGAAGAACACCAGUGGCGAAAGCGGCUCUCUGGUCUGUAACUGACGCUGAGGUUCGAAAGCGUGGGUAGCAAACAGG